GCUUGCGUCACUUGGGGAGUAGCCAGCCGCCGGUUCGGCGGGCCCGCGCGUCAACAUACUUGGCCGAGAGGUCAUGGCGGCGGGGGACGGAGGUCCAGGCGAGACCAAUGACGUUGCGCUUUCGUCCGGGCCGGGCGGGAGGUGCGAUGUCAUUCGGUAU
rnacentral:sRNA from 2 species